rnacentral:sRNA from 1 species
UAAAAGCGACAUCAAAAUAUAUUUAAAAUAUAUAAAGAAAACAAUGGGUUUGAAGAUAAGUGAUUGGAAGGUAGGAGACCAUUGCUUUUGAUCAGAGUGUUUGAUCAUAUUCUUCUGUCUACUAGAGUGUGGGCUUCCAACCUAAAACCAAUUGGCAAUAGGUGGAGAGACCCAUAUCUUAUAUAUACCACUUAAGAUCCUACUUAACUUCCGAUGUGGGACAUUGUCCCUAAUACGCCCCCUCGAGAUGAUGGCUCUUCUAGCCAUUGAUCUCGAUAUGUUUGGGCAUGGAUCGGCGGGCCAAGUAUUGGGCCGGACCGAUGUGGAUCGGGUUGAGUAUGUGCGGAUCGGGCUCUGAUACCAUAUUAGAGUGUGGGCUUCCAACCUAAAACCAAUUGGCAAUAGGUGGAGAGGCCGCUAUCUUAUAUAUACCACUUAAGAUCCUACUUAACUUCCGAUGUGGAACAUUGUCCCUAAUAGUGUCCUUCUCCAUUCACUGUUGUAAUACUAUUAAAGUUAUAAGUUUACCCACUUCCAAAUUUCAAUCACAUUCAUAAGAACUGCAAAACGAGCGAUUUUUUUUUUUUUUUGGAUUUAAGUUCUUAUAAGUUUUCCAUUGUGAAAAAGUUAGCUAGUUAUGUUA